rnacentral:rRNA from 1 species
GACGAACCGAGCGAACGUUGUUCGGAAUCACUGGGCGUAAAGGGCGCGUAGGCGGCUGUUCAAGUCGGGGGUGAAAGCCUGUGGCUCAACCACAGAAUGGCCUUCGAUACUGGACGGCUCGAGACCGGAAGAGGUCAGUGGAACUGCGAGUGUAGAGGUGAAAUUCGUAGAUAUUCGCAAGAACACCAGUGGCGAAGGCGGCUGACUGGUCCGGUUCUGACGCUGAGGCGCGAAAGCGUGGGGAGCAAACAGG